rnacentral:rRNA from 1 species
GGAAUUUUGCGCAAUGGCCGCAAGGCUGACGCAGCAACGCCGCGUGGGUGAUGAAGGCCUUCGGGUCGUAAAGCCCUGUCAGGUGGGAAGAAAGGUCUUGAGAGGAAAGGCUUGGGAUUUGACGGUACCACCAGAGGAAGCACCGGCUAACUCCGUGCCAGCAGCCGCGGUAAUACGGAGGGUGCGAGCGUUAUUCGGAAUUACUGGGCGUAAAGCGCGUGUAGGCGGGGAUGCAAGUCUGAUGUGAAAGCCCUGGGCUUAACCUGGGAAGUGCAUUGGAAACUGCAUUUCUUGAGUACUGGAGAGGAAGGGGGAAUUCCCGGUGUAGAGGUGAAAUUCGUAGAGAUCGGGAGGAAUACCAGUGGCGUAGGCGCCCUUCUGGACGGUUACUGACGCUGAGACGCGAAAGCGUGGGGAGCAAACAGGAUUAGA